GGACUACUCGGGUUUCUAAUCCUGUUUGCUCCCCACGCUUUCGCGCCUCAGCGUCAGUAUCGGUCCAGAGCGCCGCCUUCGCCACCGGUGUUCUUCCCAAUAUCUACGAAUUUCACCUCUACACUGGGAAUUCCACGCUCCUCUCCCGAACUCCAGCCGCCCAGUCCCAAGCGCAAUUCCCAGGUUGAGCCCGGGGCUUUCACGCCUGACUUGAACGGCCGCCUACGCGCCCUUUACGCCCAGUAAAUCCGAACAACGCUCGCCCCCUUCGUAUUACCGCGGCUGCUGGCAC
rnacentral:rRNA from 1 species